UGCUAAACUGAAUUAUGCCAUACCCUCUUCUUUCUCAUCACUGAAUUCUAUUAGCACACAGUUACAGGAACCAAAAAUUCAUCUGAGGCUAAGAGACAAUGAUUAUCUAUUAUAGGUAGAAUAAAACACAGAUUAUUAAGAUUCUUAUGACUACUUUGUACUCUGCAAACUGUUCAAAGAUUAGAUUACAAUAUGAGGUUUGCUUUUGCAUGAUGGUAUUCCUCGUGACCCCUGUACAAAUGGUAUCUAUGUCACUGAUAAGCCUAUCAAGGACAAAGGUUCAUGUUAUAGGAAGCUGCAACUUUUACAAGUCAUCUUGACAUUUCAUUUUCCUCCGAUUUUUUAGGCCAGAAUUAGGUCAUCUCAAAAUGGGGACUGAGGAAAAACUAUCAAACCAACAAAAACCAAAAGACAAAGGUAGAAGUUAAAGAGAGAGAAAAUAAUUUGUAUAGGGGUU
rnacentral:lncRNA from 1 species